AACUGAUACUACCUGCGGGAACCUGCGGAGGGAUCAUUAACGAUUUCGGUGUAAAAAACCGUUUUCUACCUAUGUCUACGCGUACCACUUGUUUCCUCGGGGGGCUUGCCCCCCGCUAGGACCCUUUAUCAAACCUUUUUGUAAUAGCAGUCAGCGUCUGAUACUACGUUAAUUAUUAAAACUUUUAACAACGGAUCUCU
rnacentral:misc_RNA from 1 species